rnacentral:lncRNA from 1 species
AUGCUUCUCUUAGUAAUGUUACUCACAUCACCACAGCAGAAUUGGAUUAUAGGGCCACAUGUUUGGGACACUUUUGUGUAAGUGUCUCAUUUAUACCAAAACUUAAAAAAAAAUCUACUAAUGCCUAAAUAUAAAGUUCAAUCCAAUCAAAAAUAAAAAGUUACUCUACUUAACUACCCCACCCAACCCAUUCAGCCCGAUUACAAACAGAAAAGAAAAAAAAAAGAAAAAUCGAUUACCAUCUCGCCUUCUCCCUCACUCAAUCCACUUAAAUUCUAGACGAAGAGACCUUCCCUCUCCUCUUCCUCCACAGCCAACGAGGUAGAGUUCCGGCGGUUGCCAAAUACUUAAAUAAGUGUUAGUAAAUUAGUAGCACUCUUUUUAGGUUAUAGUGACACUCUUUAACUGUCACUAUAUACCUAGUGACCCCACAUAUAGCAACACUUUUUAAAAGUGUCGGUAAUUUAGCAAGUAUCACUUUUUUUGACAUGUACCGACAUUUAAAAGUGUCGCUAUAUAU